UGAGUAGGCGGUAAUAUGUGUCAGAUGUAAAAGGCUAUGGCUUAACCAUGGUUGGCAUUUGAAACUGUAUUACUUGAGUGCAGGAGAGGUAAGUGGAAUUCCUAGUGUAGCGGUGAAAUGCGUAGAUAUUAGGAGGAACACCAGUGGCGAAGGCGACUUACUGGACUGUAACUGACGCUGAGUCACGAAAGCGUGGGUAGCAAACAG
rnacentral:rRNA from 1 species